GACGAACGCUGGCGGCGUGCCUAAUACAUGCAAGUUGAGCGAUGAAGCUUGGUGCUUGCACCCUUUUGAAGAGCAGCUAGCGGGUGAGUAACGCGUGGGUAAUCUUCCUUUUAUCGGGGGACAACAUUUGGAAACGAAUGCUAAUACCGCAUAACAACUUUAACCAUAAGUUUCAAGUUUGAAAGAUGCAUUUGCAUCACUCAUAGAUGAAUCCGAGUUGUAUUAGCUAGUUGGUGAGGUAAAGGCUCACCCAGGCGAUGAUACAUAGCCGACCUGGAAGGGUGGACCGCCAAAAUGGGAACGGGAAACGGCCCAAGAUCCUAAGGGAGGGAGCAGGAGGGGAUCUUUGGAAAAGGACGAAAAUCUGAACGAGGCAAGCCGGGGGAGUGAAGGAGGGUUUCGGGUCGUAAAACUCUGUUGGUAGGGAAGGAAGUUGGGGAGAGUGGAAAGCUCAUCAAGUGACGGUACCUAACCAGAAAGGGACGGCUAACUACGUG
rnacentral:rRNA from 1 species